GUUCCUUCAUUCUCUUUUUUUUUUUCUUUCUUUUUCUUUCUUUUUCUCUUGUCUGUCUCAUUUUUCUUAAGGCAUUAAACGAUGUGAGAUCCUUUCUCCGCGACAAGACUGCGAACUACAAACCAGGGAGCGAAGAAGAAAAAAGAAAUUUUAAAGUUUU
rnacentral:ribozyme from 13 species